UACGUAGGGUGCAAGCGUUGUCCGGAAUUAUUGGGCGUAAAGAGCUCGUAGGCGGUUUGUCGCGUCGGCUGUGAAAUCCCGGAGCUCAACUCCGGGUCUGCAGUCGAUACGGGCGGACUUGAGUACUGCAGGGGAGACUGGAAUUCCUGGUGUAGCGGUGAAAUGCGCAGAUAUCAGGAGGAACACCGAUGGCGAAGGCACUCUACUGGGCCACUACUGACACUGAGAGACGAAAGCUAGGGGAGCAAAUGGG
rnacentral:rRNA from 1 species